UACGUAGGGUGCGAGCGUUAAUCGGAAUUACUGGGCGUAAAGCGUGCGUAGGUGGUUUGUUAAGUCUGAUGUGAAAGCCCUGGGCUCAACCUGGGAACUGCAUUGGAUACUGGCUUACUAGAGUGCGGUAGAGGGGUGUGGAAUUCCCGGUGUAGCAGUGAAAUGCGUAGAUAUCGGGAGGAACAUCUGUGGCGAAGGCGACACCCUGGACCAGCACUGACACUGAGGCACGAAAGCGUGGGGAGCAAACAGG
rnacentral:rRNA from 1 species